AUCCUGGCUCAGGAUGAACGCUAGCUACAGGCUUAACACAUGCAAGUCGAGGGCAGCAUCAUCAAAGCUUGCUUUGAUGGAUGGCGACCGGCGCACGGGUGAGUAACACGUAUCCAACCUGCCGACAACACUGGGAUAGCCUUUCGAAAGAAAGAUUAAUACCGGAUGGCAUAGUUUUCCCGCAUGGGAUAAUUAUUAAAGAAUUUCGGUUGUCGAUGGGGAUGCGUUCCAUUAGGCAGUUGGCGGGGUAACGGCCCACCAAACCUACGAUGGAUAGGGGUUCUGAGAGGAAGGUCCCCCACAUUGGAACUGAGACACGGUCCAAACUCCUACGGGAGGCAGCAGUGAGGAAUAUUGGUCAAUGGACGAGAGUCUGAACCAGCCAAGUAGCGUGAAGGAUGACUGCCCUAUGGGUUGUAAACUUCUUUUAUACGGGAAUAAAGUUAGCCACGUGUGGUUUUUUGUAUGUACCGUAUGAAUAAGGAUCGGCUAACUCCGUG
rnacentral:rRNA from 1 species